rnacentral:rRNA from 1 species
GCGACGACGGGUAGCCGGCCUGAGAGGGCGACCGGCCACACUGGGACUGAGACACGGCCCAGACUCCUACGGGAGGCAGCAGUGGGGAAUAUUGCGCAAUGGGCGGAAGCCUGACGCAGCGACGCCGCGUGGGGGAUGACGGCCUUCGGGUUGUAAACCUCUUUCAGCAGGGACGAAGUUGACGUGUACCUGCAGAAGAAGCGCCGGCUAACUACGUGCCAGCAGCCGCGGUAAUACGUAGGGCGCAAGCGUUGUCCGGAAUUAUUGGGCGUAAAGAGCUCGUAGGUGGCUGGUCGCGUCUGCCGUGAAAGCCCGCAGCUUAACUGCGGGUCUGCGGUGGAUACGGGCCGGCUAGAGGUAGGUAGGGGCAAGUGGAAUUCCUGGUGUAGCGGUGAAAUGCGCAGAUAUCAGGAGGAACACCGGUGGCGAAGGCGGCUUGCUGGGCCUUACCUGACGCUGAGGAGCGAAAGCGUGGGGAGCGAACAGGAUUAGAUACCCUGGUAGUCCACGCUGUAAACGUUGGGCGCUAGGUGUGGGGAUCUUCCACGAUCUCCGUGCCGGAGCUAACGCAUUAAGCGCCCCGCC